UUUUGUCUUAUCUGAUGCUGAAACUCUUCCAUGCAGCUUUGACCGCAGAAGCACGCAAGAAAGAAAUCGGUUGGAAAUUUGUUCAUGUCUACCUCUAUGCUUGACAUUUCUUCGCUGAUAAGGCGUCAAGGAAGAAGUGUAUUUUAAAUGUGAGUUGUAACUUUCAUGUUAACGGCUGGAUCCAGAGAAGCUUUUCCAAUCUGAGGGUCUUUUUUCCAGUGGAGGCAGCAGUCAUCCCAAGGAGAUGACAUCCUUUCCUCCAAUGGAAGAUAUUCCAUUGUAAAUGAACAUAUUUUAAGAACCCUGCAACUGCUUUCUACAGCAAGUUUUGAGGAAACCAAUGCUGCAUUUGAGAAAGAAAUUCCCUGGCCUGGGAAAAAUGUUUUCCCACCCAAAUGAAAUUCCAAGGAUCUGUUAUGCAUACCUGCUUAUAUGCUGCACACUGCUACAACUCUCUGGAUCCUUCAAUUUAAUCUCCCUAUCUUGUCUCUUAGCCGCUCCUUUAUCAUGGUGCCACCUUCAUGUUACAGACGAAAAUGACAGGAGGUCAGCACCAGAGACCAGACUCUCUGAAUGCCAUACUGAAUUUUAAACUGGCAACUUGAUUGUGUUCCUUUAGAAACACAUCUUAGCUUUUGAAAAAGAAAAAUACGGAGAGGUAUCUGCUAUAUGAAAUCCUAACAGUAUGUCCACUUUCGAGAAAGUUCCUUUGAAGGAGUCAAAUGCAUACCAUAAAAUAGUUAUUUCAUCAGGUGUGUGGAGUUUUUUGGACGGAGAAAUCUCUCUCUUUCAAUCAUCCUCUCCCCUAUUUAUAUUUUUUUUUUAAUGAUAGGGAGUUGUGAAGUCUGUUGUCUCCAAUGCAAGCGAUCUCAUUUAAAUACAUAUGCCUUUGCCUUGCAUUGUGUGAGCAGCCAUGGAGUCCCUGUCCCUGCAAAGCCUGGCCAUCUAGGGUAUAUGAAUAAAUGGACACCACAAUGGUCAGGGAUUAAAAGGCCACAACUUUAUUGAUUUCAGAGGUAGGUAAAUCUUUGGCAUAGGCACUGGGCAUUGCCUAGGAAUGGACCUGAGGGAAGACUGCAUCCCUAAGGUCCGCUCCCCAAACCCCACCCUCCAGACCGCCACGGAAAGGCCGAUUUGAAUGGUGGGCUUGGUGGAGGUCCACGCACCCCCGUGGCAGCCAGGGAGGAGUGGCAAUGGCCACUUGUAAAAUGGCGAGACUCUGUGGGGAGGGGAGGCGCUGUGGUGGGCCGCAACUACCACUCACCAUGGAGAGAGGUAAGUGGCCAUUUCUCACUAUAUCAUAUGUGUAUCUCCACACAUUUGGAGUAGCUGUACUCUCAUUUGCAUCUCCUUCUUUUGGUGGGAAUUAGAGGCAGAAAACGUGAAUAGGAUUCUCACAUAAGGUAAUUAGAACUCGGGACAAAGGCUUUUAUAAGCAUUCUGGAUGUGCUGGGGGGAAUUAAAGGGCUGAGCAGAUUUUCAAACUAUGCCCCACUCUCAGCUCACAGUCCUCCU